rnacentral:rRNA from 1 species
AAUACCUCGGGGGGCAGCAGUGGGGAAUAUUGCACAAUGGGGGAAACCCUGAUGCAGCGACGCCGCGUGAGUGAAGAAGUAUUUCGGUAUGUAAUGCUCUAUCAGCAGGGAAGAAAAUGACAGUACCUGAGUAAGAAGCCCCGGCUAACUACGUGCCAGCAGCCGCGGUAAUACGUAGGGGGCAAGCGUUAUCCGAAUUUACUGGGUGUAAAGGGAGCGUAGACGGUUGUAUAAGUCUGGAGUGAAAGCCCGGGGCCCAACCCCGGGACUGCUUUGGAAACUGUGUAACUUGAGUACAGGAGGGG